GCCCAGGUGGCGGAAUCGGUAGACGCGCUGGUCUCAAACACCAGUAGGUUCACCCCUGUGCCGGUUCGACCCCGGCCCUGGGUA
rnacentral:tRNA from 2 species